rnacentral:rRNA from 1 species
CAAGACCAUUGUGAACGUUACCUGUAACAUGUUGCCUCGGCGGGCGGCCCCUCCCUGGGGCCGCUGCCUCCCUUCGGGGGGGUGCCCGCCGGAGCGCCAAAAACUAUUUUGUAUUCUAGUGGCCUCUCUGAGAAAACAAGCAAAUAAGUUAAAACUUUCAACAACGGAUCUCUUGGUUCUGGCAUCGAUGAAGAACGCAGCGAAAUGCGAUAAGUAAUGUGAAUUGCAGAAUUCAGUGAAUCAUCGAAUCUUUGAACGCACAUUGCGCCCGCCAGUACUCUGGCGGGCAUGCCUGUUCGAGCGUCAUUUCAACCCUCAAGCUCCGCUUGGUGUUGGGGUCCUACGGCUGCCGUAGGCCCUGAAAGAAAGUGGCGGGCUCGCUAUAACUCCGAGCGUAGUAGUAACAUAUCUCGCUAGGGAGUCGUCGCGUGUUCCGGCCGUGAAAGCCCCAUCUUUUACACAAGGUUGACCUCGGAUCAGGUAGGAAUACCCGCUGAACUUAA